rnacentral:pre_miRNA from 1 species
UUCAGCAUUGCUCCCUUUUAUGUUAACAUGUGCACCUAAUACCUGUAUAUUUUCCUCAAUUAGGGGUGAGUACUCUGAUCCCAUUUAGGAAAACUCAAUUUUGAUGGCAUCCCAAAUGGGAUCAGAGUACUCACCCUUGAUUGAGGCAAAUAUAAAGGUUUUAGGUGCACAUGUUAGCACAAAAGGGAGCAAUGCUGAA